rnacentral:rRNA from 2 species
GUUAAUCGGGAUUACUGGGGCGUAAAGCGUGCGCAGGCGGUUUUGUAAGUCUGUCGUGAAAGCCCCGGGCUCAACCUGGGAAUUGCGAUGGAGACUGCAAGGCUUGAAUCUGGCAGAGGGGGGUAGAAUUCCACGUGUAGCAGUGAAAUGCGUAGAGAUGUGGAGGAACACCGAUGGCGAAGGCAGCCCCCUGGGUCAAGAUUGACGCUCAUGCACGAAAGCGUGGGGAGCAAACAGGAUUAGAUACCCUGGUAGUCCACGCCCUAAACGAUGUCUACUAGUUGUCGGGUUUUAAUUAACUUGGUAACGCAGCUAACGCGUGAAGUAGACCGCCUGGGGAGUACGGUCGCAAGAUUAAAACUCAAAUAAAUUGACGGG